rnacentral:lncRNA from 1 species
CGCGGUAUGGCAUGUAAUUUAAAACGUAUGAAUUAUUUGCUUCUGGAAUUUUCCAUUUCAUUCUUCUGAACUGAGGUUGACUGCAGAUAACCAAAACCAUGGAUAAGGUGAGGCAAACUGUGGGAGCCCAGUCCUCCUAGAGAAGAAAAGGAGGAGGAAGACUUCAGAAGCAAGAUGACACAGGAGGAACAGAGGCAAGGAGAAAGUCCUUGCAGCCAGGACAUGUGACCUGAUUCUGAGAAAUGGCCCCAUAGAAGUUUGAUAAGGAGGUUUUGAAAUGCUUUCCUUCCCGAUGAAAAGAACUAUGUGAGAAGAAAACUACUUUUUUUUUUCCAUCUUGGACAUAGUUGUAUGAAGUGUGAUGCCUGGAGUUAUGACAGCCAUCUUGCAACCAUGAGAAGAUAAGGCUGUGGAUGAAAACCAAUAUACCAAGAAUGGUUGUGUUAAAAGAUGAAAAGAGCUUGGGUCUUGAAUGUCAUCACUGAACACUUCACCAGUUUUCAAACAGCCCUAUUUCUGAACUCUUGUGAUGUGAGAUUACUAAUGUCCUCAUUAUUUAAGCUACAUUAGUAGUUGGAUUUCUUGUCACAUGUAGCUGAAAAUAUCCUAGCUAAUACAUCAACAAAUAAAUGAGUAAAUAAUAAAAUUU